GCUUGCAGGUCUCAGCUAUCACUAGCACACCCUGGGAUAUCAAGGGCAUCAGCACAUAGAACCAGUAAAAGGGUCUUCCCUCAGAGUGACACAUGUCAUAGAUUCAGAUUUACACAAACAAAAGCUGAGCAAAUCAUGAAAAGAGUCUCUGUUAUUUUCAACAAUAUAAUCACAGAGGAAGUGUAUUGAUUUUCUUGAACUUUUGAAAUGCAGAGGAGCCUUUAGAAUAAAGCCUUGAGCAUGAGGGGCAGACCCCUGCAUCCAACCACCACCUGACUCUGUGUGAACCAGGAACUGUUAGAAUGUCUGUGCUGUGAUAAAGGUCAUCUGCAUACAAUGUUACGAUACAGACCUCAAACCUGUAAACAUGAGGAACUUCUGCCUCUAGGUUAACUGGUUUCCCAUGGUACAGGACACAGUACACAGUCCAGGAGGCGGAGCUUCUGAGAUACCUAGAAGCAGCUUAGAGGCAAAAUGGCAAAACAAAGCAGCACCGACAAAUAAAACCAAGCUUCUCAAACUGGC